rnacentral:rRNA from 1 species
AACGAACGCUGGCGGCAUGCCUAACACAUGCAAGUCGAACGAGACCUUCGGGUCUAGUGGCGCACGGGUGCGUAACGCGUGGGAACCUGCCCUUAGGUUCGGAAUAACUCCCCGAAAGGGGUGCUAAUACCGGAUAAUGUCUUCGGACCAAAGAUUUAUCGCCUUUGGAUGGGCCCGCGUUGGAUUAGCUAGUUGGUAGGGUAAAAGCCUACCAAGGCGACGAUCCAUAGCUGGUCUGAGAGGAUGAUCAGCCACACUGGGACUGAGACACAGCCCAGACUCCUACGGGAGGCAGCAGUGGGGAAUAUUGGGCAAUGGGCGAAAGCCUGAUCCAGCAAUGCCGCGUGAGUGAUGAAGGCCUUAGGGUUGUAAAGCUCUUUUACCCGGGAUGAUAAUGACAGUACCGGGAGAAUAAGCUCCGGCUAACUCCGUG